UGUGGCGCACGCGGGGUGGGGUCCCCGGAUUAUGGGUGGCCAGGUGCGUGACGUCAUUUAUGGACGGCCCCUUUGUCUUUCUUCCACACGGGCCAGACAUCUUGCCAGAGGUGGGAGCAGCCAGACUUGUCCUCACCAGGCAAAACGAAAUGUGGAGCGAAACGUCGGAAAUCGUGUCGAACAACACGUGGUGCAACCCAGAAACACGUGCAAGGGCUACACACUGGAAAUGGUGUCUGAGUGAACUUAGAAACUGUGCACUUUGUAUUCGUGGAAAUCACUAUGUGCUUCACUUGUGGGUUUAUUUCACCCGGGAAAGCCUCAAUGAGUCUCAAGCACUCUUUUUCAGGAGGCUCCUGCCACAUUUUCAUCGUCAGGGGCGAUGUUGCUGCUAUGUUUAAUCCUAAUUGAGUAAUUUGCAGGUGCAUUUUUAGAAUUAGGAUGUUUGGCCAAUAUCAUUUACAUUGUAUGCUAUGGGCGGAAACCGGAGAACCCAGAGGGAACCCAAGCGGAGCAGCGGAAAGAACACACAAACUCCAAACAGUAAGGUGCCCGAGUCGGGAAUCGAACCCAGGGCCUUCUUGCUGUGCAGUAUCAGUGUUACCACUGUCAUCCAAAUGCACUUAAUUUCCAUGGAGUGGAUCUAUCUGUGCGGAGCUCUGAGUGAUAUCCGCUCGCGCGCGUGGGUCUUUCUCCUAGUGCCCCAGCGUCCUCCCUCAUGACAAACACUCACGAAUGGGAAUUGCCAAACGUCUCAAUGCAAAACAUGUAAAUACAGGGCAUCAUUAUUAUUAUCAUCACAGUAAACGUGUUCAUCGGCCACUCCACAUUGCGCAAGAAUGUGCCAGUAUGGGCGCAUCGCGCAGGCAUGUAUAAUGUGCACAUACCUGUGCAGUGUACAAACCGUGCACGCGUAUGUUUACCUGACUCACACUGCUAUGUUCAGGUACAAUGUGUUUUUGAUACACAUCAGCGGCUAACCUCAACGCGUGCUGUCGUUGCAACUAUGAGUUCAAAAACCAAAGUUACAUUGAUAUGGUUUUUUUAGGCAGUACCGUAUCCUCUGAAUAAUAAGACCUUUCGAAAAAUAAUCAUUUUAAAGUUGGGGGAUGUGUCUUAUACACCAGUGCGCCCUUGUCAAUCAAGUUACAAUUGUGCUCAGUGUCCAACCUAAAUUCAGCCACUCGGUUUAUGGUGCCACUCGGUCUUUGGUGCCACUCGGUCUUUGGUGCCACUCGAUUUACAUGCCACUCAAUGGUGCCGCCCGGUCUGUAUAUAUACUUGUGGGGACAACAGUGUGGGGUUUUGCUUCUACUGGAUAUGCUUCUACUGGGUAAUGUAAUUCUCACAGUAGGUGUAAUGUCACUGGACACUUUACUCCUGUUGCAUGUGCCCAUGUGAAUGUUUUUGUUGUUGUUGUUGAUGUAUUUUCCUCCAAACAUUGGGGGGUUGCUUCUUAUUUUCCAGCUCGUCUCGCAAACAGGUAGUUAUUCUGCUAGUUAUGCUGGUAGUUAUGCUGGUAGUUAUGCUGGUUUCUCGGCUGGGCUUGCUCUGGUUUGCGCUGGUCAGCUUAUGACAAGACUUACCAUCACCGAACUCAUGUCACGAUUAAAAAAAGAGAAUGUGGCGCUUUAACCACCGUUCAGCUGCGUUAGACUUGAAACGCCUCUACAUUCACGAUCAUGUGUGUACGUGCACACACACUCACGUUGGAGCUUCAGUAAACAUUUGGGAAGGCACUUUUGGAUACUUUUAUCAGCAAUUAAGCAUGGAACUAAUAGGUCAACGUUUACUUGCUUCUCAUUCAACAUUCUGUUAAUUAUCUUCUAAUGCACAGCACUUAAAUUCUGGACUCUCAAGUGACCCAGAUGCCAUUCGCCUAGAAGCCCUACACAGGCUGAUGGGCUAAAAUAUAGAUAUUUUACAUGCAGAGACAAAUGAAGGUGAAUAUAUUUUAUUACUCACAAUUGUCCACAUUCGCAUAAGGGAUUCCAGGGAUUAUGUUCGUGUGAGUAAAACUACUCACAUGCAAGUGCUUACCAAAUACUUUAACAUUCCAAACAGUACUCCAAAUAUUCCCUCCUGUUAUCUUCCAGUUCCUAACUCAACAUUGGCGCCUCCUAAUCACACCUUUAUAGCUACGGCAGGACCAUGGUUAACUGUUCCCACCAACAUCAUGGGACCUCCUUUGCCAGUACCAAAAUAUACUAAUAGGGUUUUUCCCCUUUUUUCUGGC